UGCCUGGGCUUCCCAAAGUGCUGGUACUACAGGCUUGAGCCACUGGGCCAGGUCAUUUUGCAUAUACUGAUGCAAAGUCACCUUGCUUAUUCAUUCUCCUUAUCACCGACCAAGAAGUAAAAAUCAAGACAUACUGGAUGGACCAAAGGGACAGGCUCUGUCUGUCCAGCCAUUUUGACUGUCAUACCUCUUGUGAGUGGCAACCACAAUGCUUAUACUUGUGGAUGCAGAUGGCUGAUAAUUCCUGCACUGCAAAUUUGAUCUCAUCUCUUAUCUAAGCUCCUUUAAUGGAAUUUUGUGGAGAAGUGAUAACCUUCCCUGAAUGUAAGAGUGGGCUAAGGAAUCUCAAACCACAAGACUCAUUGACCAUAAGCAAAAUGGGAAUGUGUUUUUGGAGCAGCAGCAGAUUUUUACUUAGGACUAUUAAAGAAUAUGCUAAAGAAAGAUAAGCAACUUGAGCAGUUACUAAAUAUACCAAGCAGGCAUGGGGCUGAGAUAUGCGGGGUUAUGUGCAGCUGAACAAACAAAAUGACUAUUUCUGUAGGGAUCCUGCGUGUGUGGCACUUUGGGUUUGAUGACGCACCUUACUAUUUAAGGAAUGCCGGAGAAUUGUCCUAUCUGAAGUCCAGAAUAGAUUUUUCCCUUCAAGAGAAAAUUUGUUUUUUAAUGUUUGAAUGGUCUUUAAGUAAAAUGUAUCUGUUAUGAAAAUAUCUAAUAAUUUACCAUGCCACCAAGAUGGCACAGCUUAAGAGCCAUGCUGAGAUCAAGAAAAUCGAUAUAAUUGGUAGAGUACAACAGGCUUCAUUUUUUUUUUUCCUUUUUGGCAAUAAAAUGGCUCCAUUACCAUGUUAGUGAGUUUCAGAAAAUGGAUGGUUAUUGACCUGAGAUUACUUGUGAAGCAUAAUGUAGAUCAUUCUGCUAAAAAAAAAAAUUGUUUUAUUAAAGCCCAAAGUACUAUAUUUAGAUCAAUAUUUCAACACAUGACAGAAGUGUUUACUUUUAUUAAAAGUAGUAAAAUUGAAAUGUUUGUCAUUAAUGAAUGAUUGACAACCUUGCUUAAGGUAUCUUAGCCACAUAUAGGAUCAUAAGCAAGAUCCUUAAGGUACUUUAAAGAAAAUUAGGCUCUCUGCUCCUCCGGUUUGACAGCCACAAUUUCUUGUGCCGUGUCAGCCAUGUCCCUGAGACACCAUGGUGGAAGUACAGGUCAGAGUAAAUGGAUUUGGCCAUAUUGAGCACCAGGUCACCAAGACUUCUUCUAACUUUGGGAAAGUAGAUAUUGUUGUCAUCAGCGAUCCUUCCAUUGACCUCAACUACAUGCUCUGCAUAUUCCAGUAUGAUCCCUUGGCAUUGUCAAGGCUGAGAAUGGGAAACUUGUCAUCAAUGGAAAUCCUGUCGUCAUGUUACAGGAGCAAGAUCCCAUCAAAUGGGAUGAUGCCAGUGCUGAUUAUGUUGUGAAGCCCACUGGCCUCUUCACUCCUACUCCCAUGGAGAAGGCUAGGGCUUACUGAGAGGAAGGAGUCAAAAUGGUCAUCAUCUCUGCCCUCUCUACUGACGACCCCAUGUUCAUGAUGGAUGUGAACCAUGAGAAGUUCAAAAACAGCCUCAAGAACAUCAGCAAUGCCUCCUAUACCACUAACUUCUUCGUCCUCCUAGCCAAGGUCAUCCAUGCCAACUUUGGCAUCAUAGAGGGAAUCAUGACCACAGUCCAUGCCAUCACUGCCACCUAUAAGCCUGGGGAAUGGCCCCUCUGGGAAACAGCAGUGUGACAGCCGUGGGGCUCUCCAGAACAUCAUCUGUGCAUCUAGUGGUGCUGCAUCUACCAAGCUGAACAGGAAGCUCACAUUCUGUGUCCCCACAACAAAUGUGUUGGUCAUGGAUCAGACCUGCCAUCUGGAGAAACCUGCCAAAUAUGAUGACAUCAAGAAGGUGACAUCAUCAAUGAAGACAUUAGAGGGCCCCUUCAAGGGCAUCUUGGUCUAUACUGAGCACCAGGCUGUCUCCUCCAACUUUAAUGGCGACACUCUUCAACUUUCCAUGCUGGGGCAGCAUUGCCCCCAACAACCACUUUGUCAAGCUCAUAUUCUGGUAUGACAAUGAAUUUGGCUACAGCAACAGGUGAUAGGCCUCAAAGGAGUAAGGUCCCCAGACCACCAGCCCCACCAACAAAGGCAUGAGAGGGAAACGAGCAGCCCUCAGCUGCUGGGGAGUCCCUGUCACACUCAGGCACCCACCAAAGUGAGACUCUUCCGUCGUCACUGGUUCCAUGGCAGACACCCUGAAGUGGGAGGGGCCUAGGGAGCCUCACCUUGUUGUGUAUCAUCAAUAAAGUCUCCUGUAAUAAAAAAAAGAAUAAAAUUAUACUGAAAGAUAGUAUUUAAUAAAGAGUUCAGAUGGUUUGUAUUCAUGUGUGAAUCAGUAUCAAGCAAUGGAUUUAUCAUUUUGGAACUUAACUCCCUUGUAAAAAAUAUCUGAGUUGUUUAUGAGUUACUGGCCCUUUCUUAUAAAGCUUCUGUUGUUGCUUUUCUCAGAGAACUGGGAAGCCCCUUUCAAUUUUGGUUGUGAUCUGUGGACAGCUCUCUAUCCCAAAGACUGGAAAAUUUCUUUUCUAACCAUAGGAGAAAAACUGAAGCAGAAACAGCGAGAAACACAGAUCAUUGUUGAACAUUUGGAAUAGAAGAUGGCAAUUAAUUAGGACUGACAUACGUUUCCUUCAAAUAGGCCAG